rnacentral:rRNA from 1 species
UACGUAGGGUGCGAGCGUUGUCCGGAAUUAUUGGGCGUAAAGAGCUCGUAGGCGGUGUGUCACGUCGGCCGUGAAAACCUGCAGCUUAACUGUGGGCGUGCGGUCGAUACGGGCAUCACUGGAGUUCGGCAGGGGAGACUGGAAUUCCUGGUGUAGCGGUGAAAUGCGCAGAUAUCAGGAGGAACACCGGUGGCGAAGGCGGGUCUCUGGGCCACUACUGACGCUGAGAAGCGAAAGGCGUAGGGGAGCAAACAGG